AUGAUGCGGCGAGCCUUGAGAGAGAAUGGGGCCGCUGCUGUCUCCAAGGCCGCCAUCUCCUCCACACUAGUCGCUGUGGUAUCGGCGACGUUGAGCCUGGAAACCAAACUCAUGGCCCUGGCACUGGCAUUGGGCGGCCUCUACCUGCUCCAGCGUGUCCUGGUGGGAAAGCGCCGUCGCUCGGGGCACUGGCUCGUCCAGUAUGGUGCGAUGGCGGCCUACUAUCUUCCCGUUCCUCUCGUGUUUUACGCUACCAAAGCUGUGUCCUCCACCUCCCACUCCCACCACAUCCAUGAAGAUACCCCUUCGCUCGUGGUCGGCGUCUUCUACAUGUUUCGCUUGAGCCUUCCAUCAUUUCAAGAGGUCGUUGCACCGCUUGUCACCAACAUGAGAGCCUAUUCUCUCCACGACCGCCCACAAGAUGGUUACAAUUAUCUCAUGUGGCUACUCUUCCUUGGUUGGGUAGAUUGGGGAAUUAUUCUAGAUUGGGCUCGGUGCUGUCGGCGGCGAGUACUGUACCGACUUGUGCAGAUGGGUCUAGAUUUUUUCUUGACCUUGUUCACUCUAUUUGCUCAUACAUCAGAAUCCACCUUGGAUUGCCAGACCAAAGCAGUCGCUGACUACAUGAAGCGGGAGUCCAGCAAAUCGUCGUCAACCUCAACGACCUCACCAUUUUUUGAUGAAGAUGAUGAUGCUAACAGUAACAGCAGUCUGAAGCUGCUAGAUUGUUGCAGAUAUCCCUUUGUGCAGAGGGGAAAUGGGGAAUGGGCCACUGUCAAAGAUUUGGUGCAGCGAGAUGACCUGCCGAAUGAGGACAAGGACAUUUGGCUCUCCUACAGCUUGUGCCGGCUUUUGGCAAGGCGCUACUAUGGGUUCCACUGCGCAGAAGAAGGAGAUGACAAGGUGCGCUGUCUUGCGCUGGCGGACCUGACAAGAGCAGAUGGCUACAAGAGGGUAUUCACCAUUGGUGAGGUGCAGUUGGCUUUCCUUCACGAUUACUUCUUCACCGCCUCCCUCCCAAUCAUAGAAUCAGGAUUGAAGUACAUUGACGUUGCACAACAGUUUUUGGGUGAAUUCUAUGUGAUCAUUUCAAUCUUCUCUAGUGGCAUUCCACUCGUGAUUGCAACGUUUAUGUCAUUGUGUUCACUAUUUGAGAACCCAAUGUCGUUGCUGGUUAAAAAUCUUGUGGCCAUCUAUUGGCGUCCAAUACACACUGCUUUUCGAAAACUCAAUGAUCUCCCCAACCACCCCCGCCUCAUCAUCAUCCGCUUUAGGCCUAAUCCUAAUGUGCAGGAUGUUUUUGACCCGUUUCAAGCUCAAACUGGUGGUGCUUACUGGAGGAACAAAAUAGGCCAAUACUCAAUUCUCCAAGACUACGACCGUCGUCGCUCUCCCAAGAAGGCUCUUGUAGCCUGGUUCCACAGAAUUGUGCUAUCCCAACCGUCAUAUAGGUUCAUCAAGCAUCUCCCAGUAGAAGAAGACCAGGUCGACAUGCUAGAGCUGGACAACAUGAGAGAGUUGGUUGCCAAUACUCUCCGGGAUAUAGAUGGCCCACCAACAAACGGCACCAGGUCUCUCAAGAUAAACAUGGGCAAGAUAAACAGGGCUACGAGAAACAGGGACAGUCCUGGUUAUGACUGGUUAUGGACCUGCAAGCAAGAAACUCAUACGGACGCCAUCCUCAUAUGGCACAUAGCAACCUGCUACUGUGACAUGACACCAAUAAGUGAUGACCCAUUGGUAAAAUGGCAUCAUGAAGUAGCCAAAGCAUUGUCAAGAUAUUGUGCCUACCUGGUGGCCUUUCUUCCGGAGUUCCUCCCGGAGCAUAGCCUGACCACAAAACAAGUGUUUCAAAGAGUCUUGCAGGAAGCACAGCAAGAACUAGGAGAAAAACCAAUGAAGGAGGAAGAAAAGCGCACCAAGAUCCGAGGGUUACAGCUACCUGACCAACAUGAACAGCGGACGACCUUUCACAAGGGUAUCGACCUAGGACGGCAACUGGAGAUGCUCAGCGAUGACAACCUACGCUGGAAGGUCAUGGCAGAGUUCUGGGCAGAGAUGAUCCUGUACAUCGCGCCGUCCGACAACGCGGAGGCACACAUCGCGCACCUGGCCAAAGGUGGGGAGUUCAUCACGCACCUCUGGGCCAUGCUCUCCAAUGCCGGCAUCCUGAAGCGGGCAACAGGGGAAUGGCAUCUGCCGCAUGCUUCCACUACCAAAAGAGGAACACCAAAGAAGAUAGAGACCACCAAAGCAAGAACUCAGGAAUGUCCCUUUUAA
rnacentral:rRNA from 1 species